UUUGGGGAUAUAGCUCAGUUGGUAGAGUGCUUGCCUUGCAUGCACAAGGCCCUGGGUUCAAUCCCCAACACCAAAA
rnacentral:tRNA from 1 species